rnacentral:lncRNA from 1 species
UUCAUUCCCCUACCACCAACUCCUGUAAGGAAAACAAAGCUGAGGGGAUGAGCUUACGCCCAGUGAGGUUUCCAUGCAAGCAACGAUCAAUAAACACUUAAACCAGAUAAGCCAGUAACAAAAUUAAGCAACUAAGGAACACUUCACUGAAUAAAGUAGAGAACACUUCAUUGAACAAUCACUUUGAAAAGGAUACGGUGCUGGCAUUAGAGCCACUUCCUUCUGGGAGUUAGUUCAAUAUCAUUGCACACUCAUUUCAAUGUCAUUGUUCAUUUAUUUCAGUGUCAUGAGACACUCAUUUCAAUAUCAUUGCAUACUCCGCCAAUUCACCUCCUUAUGUCCUCCAAAAUAAUAAACAAUCCCCUGCAUUCAAUGAUUAGUUUAAUAAUCUCCCAAUUUCAAGAUAAUACUCGAGUAUAUCGAAACAUUUACCCAAAGCUUCCAUCCUAUCCGACCAAGCCCUUUGCUGGCUCGAAUAGUCCGUUGAACAGAGGGUUUUGAGGCCUAGUUCAGCCGAUGUGGUAAAGUACACACACGGCUUACAGUCAUGCACACUUACAAUAACACUUGAUCAAUUAGCAACUUUCAAGCUCAAACUAAGUCAAGUGCGAUAAAGUACACACCCGACUUAGAAGGCGAUGGACAAUUGACAUAUACUUUACAAUGAAUCACUAGCAAUAUUCCAUAAUAAGCACAUUUAUCAUAUAAUUUCAUUUAAGCAAACAUAAACAGUUAAACACAUAAAUUCGGAAACACUCACCAAAUAUCCAAAUAAAUUACUCUCGAGCCUCGGAUUUGUUUUCUGGCUCAUAGCUAUCCCCUGAGACAAUUUAUAACUCUAAAGUAAAUAUACAAUUCAUAGAUCACCACUUAUCAUUUAUUACCUUUUAUGAUUUAAACUAUUAAAGUCAAGUUUUGGCUUUAAAACAUAAAAUAUAACAUAUUUUAUAUUUAUUUUACAUUUUUUUUCAAAAUUUAUUAAUUUUAUUAUUUCAAACCAAGAAUUAUACAUUUUUCCCAAGUUUGUAUCUUUAUAUAAUAUUUAAAUCAGGAAUAUAUCUUUCUCAAUUCAAUUUUCAUUAAUUAUGGCUUAUAGACACUCCAUUUGUUCCCUUUUAAAUCAACUAAACUCUAAGUUGUUUGUAAAUUAAACUUUUUAUUCCACUACACCAGCCCCUCAAGUUCUAAAGUCUUUAAAAUAUUCAUGAAGACAAUGUUAAGUUAUUGUAGACACCAAAUUUUUAAUUUAGUUUUAUUUACUAUUAUUUUUAUUUUCAUUGAUUAAAUGUUAAUUAUUAUUAUUCAUUUUUAGUCUCUUAGUUUUUAUUUUUAGUAUUUAAAUUUCAGAAUAAGAAAAUUUUCACAAAAAAAGUUGUUUUAAUCAUUUUGGAUUCAAUUUGAAAAAUAUAUAUAAUUUUGUUUCUUUACUUAAAUAAAUUUUUGAAAGAAAAAAUACAAAAAAAAAUAAAAUAAUAAGGAAGAAUGUGUGAAUAGGUGUAAACUUGCAUGUGAGACAAGUGUCCCUUUAUGUAUUUGACAACACACCACCUAGAAGGUGAGGUGUUGAGACACUUGGAGGCCUAAGAUUUGAAGGAAAAGAAAAAACAAAAAGAAAAUAACGAAAAGGGAAGGAGAUGUGGCGGCUAGGGUAGAAAAAAAAGGCAACAAGAAGAAAAAUGGGGGGAUGCUAGAAAAAUGGGGAGCUUCGUCUGAGAGCCAAAAAAAAAAAAGAAUAGAGCAAAAGGAAAAAGAGUGAGAAAAACAGAGAAAAAAAAAGGGCGGCGGACGAGAGGGAAAAGAAGAGGAGUGCAAGAACUGAAGAACAGGGGAAGAGAAGGGGGAACCUGAGAAAUUUGGAAAGGAGCUUCAGAGCUGAAAAAAGAAAAAAAAUAGAGGGAAGGAGGGAGAAUCCGGGAAAGAAAAAGAAAGAAAAAAAAAACAGAGGGGAAGUGAAGGAACAUUAGAAGAACGAGGCGGGUUCAUCAGAAGAGCCACCGGAACCGCCGCCGCUCGCAAGAAGCUGCCACCACCUCACCGGAAUCCAUUGUCAUUGCCUACGGAUUUUCACCGAGCAAGAGGAUUGUAAGCCAUCUUUUUCCCUUUGAAUAUCAGUUUUUUUUCUUCAAGCACAAACGCUGGAAAUCCCAAAGCAUGUCUUUUGUGAAUUUGUUAUUGCAAUUUUCCUGUUGAUUGUCUAUAAUUUUUUGAUCGCACACGCUUUAUGGGUUAAUUGGACUGAAAUCCCUUGUUUUCUGACUAUUUUGGGGCUGAUUGUAACUUCAAUUAAGCAAACAAUAGGUGGAUUUUUUAAUGCCCAUUUGUUGUUCGAUGAAAUGCCUAAUUGAAAGUUUUACUUGAAAGACGGCUCAUCUGCGUUUUGCGUGUGGAAAAAAAUGAACAGAGAGCAAGUUCAAUGUUUGUCAAAACAUAAUAGUUGAUUUUCACGGUAGAAAGGAGAGUUUUUGAUCUUGAUGUGCUUGUGUGUGACACCUUUUCUGUUUUUCUGUUUCUUGUUCUUCCCUUGGUAUGAACUCAAAUUAUGUCGUAAGAUUGCAUGCGAGAGAGUUUGGGUGAGUAUUCAUUUUCUUUUGGAGGGGACCAGAGGAGUUGAAGUGCAACCUGUUGAUGUUUUUAUUCUGCGAGGAAAGGGUAAAUGGCCGCUGAUGUUCUUUUGAUCUUCAAUGGUUUAAUAUUCAUGAUUGGGUUGUGUUAAUCAAGGGGGUUGAAUUUGUUAAAGGGUCUUGUUUGCUUCGAAUUUGUUUCGUGUGGUUCCUGGGGUGAGUUAUAGAAGAAAGAAUGUAGAAGAAAGCUGCAAGAGAGCUUCGAGCAGGAUGCAUGAUAAUUUCUGAAUUUUUUAUUUUAGCCCCCAACUUUUGUCUAAUUGCAGUAUGGCCCAAAUCUUUUGUAAUUGAACCAUUCACGUCCCUAUUGAGUGUUCAUCUUCUCUUCAUAUUUUAAGUGCAUUUCUAAACAUGUUAUUUCUGUGAUUUGGGGUAUAAUUAAAUCUUAAUUUGUUUUAGUGGAUUUAUUAUCUUAUUGGGUUAUUGUAAAAUAGGUAGUUUGGGUUAAAGGUUUGUUUGGUCGGGUUUGGCUAAUGGGUUGUUAGUUUUUUUUUUUUUUUUGGGUUUUUGGCUUGGAUUUAGAAGGUAAAAGCCUACCCUUUUUGUUGGGUUUGUUUGGGGUAAGAUUAUGGUCUGACCCGUGCACUUUCCUUGGAUUUUCGUAAGGCUUGGGGUUUUCGGCCCAAACAAAUAAGAAAAGGGCCCAACAGUCUGUUAAGUCAAGAAGUCUGUGACGAUUUUUCAUUCCAGUCCCCUAAUUUUUGAGUAUUUUCACUACGGCCCUACAAACUUUUGACUUCUUCCACUUAGGUCCCUAAUUUAAUUGCAAAUUGGUCCUUGAACUUUAUCUUUCCUUCUAGUUUGGCCCUAAAGGUUCUAGAAAUCAUGAUUUGGCCCUAAAAACUUUCUGAUAUUUGUGAUUUGGUCCUUGGCAGAUUUAAUUUUGCAACUUCAUUGCUUGUUUGCUUCAAUUAGCCACCAUAUUUUGUUUAAACUGCAUUUAAUUCAUAAUUUUAAGGGCUUUAUGACCAAUUGAGCUUGUGUUUGCAUAUUUUCUUCAGUUUUCUCAAUUAAAGUGAUGCCUUGAUUCUUUCUUUGUUUUUGGAGGGUAAAUAAGUAAUUUCACUUCAUUAGGGUUUCAACUCAAGGGAGGUACACUCUAUCCCUUAUUUUGACUUUAUUUGAUCCUAUGUGCCCUAUGUGACUCUAUGUGCUUAAUUGCUUACCUUUUGAAUGUUUUCAUUUCAUUUAUUUAUUUAUUCGCUUUAUUUGUUUUAAUUUUGUAUACUUAUUUCAAUGUAAUUAUUUGAAAGGCAUUCAAAGGCCAAAGUUGUAAUAGUUAAGGGUUUAUUUAUUUUUAUUUUUCCCCUUUUAGAUUGUAGUAGGGCCCCCCAAUAUAAUAGUUAGGGCUUGUUUGCUUUAUUUGCUUGGUAUGUUUUGCAUGCUUAUGUGUUAUGUAUUAUCCGCUUUUUUAGGGCCUUGCAUCUAGAUAUCAUACUUAUGUGUUAUGUGCUAUACGUGAUUUAUGUGUUUACAUGCUUUUAUUAGGUCUUACAUGAUUUAUUUGAUUAUAACAAAUGCAUGUCGUCACUACACUAGUCCAACACUAGUUGUGACCCCCUUUCCCGAAUCCACACUAGUCCAACGCUAGUUGUGGCUCAUUGUUCUGAUUUUUCACUAGUCCAAUGCUAGUAGGAAUUCAUAGAUAUGAGCUAGUCCAACGCUAGACCCUUAGGAGCCCUUCGAGCGUUAGAUCAUGAUUGUGUGAUAAAAUCAUUUCAUCUCAUGCAUAUUUUUCACUUUCUAAGGUCUUUUAUCAUUUUUUGCAUGUUCCCCUUAUAUAUAUCCCCUAUCCCACAUUCCCUCUUAUAUUCGUAUCCCCUAUUUUUAUUUUUCCUUUAUAUAAAUCCUAUGUAUGAGACAUGACAUUAGAUUUGCAUUUCAUGUAGGGAAAAUUAGAGAUAGGUUAAUACAUUUGUUUGAUUAGAUUAGGAAAAACCCCUUGAGUAUGGGAUGUGGACAAGUUUGAUUUUCUAACCUUAGCACGCUCAUAUUCCCUCUGUUAAAGGGAAAAUUGAGUCACGAACAUUAGUCCCCCGUACCUGACAUGAUGCAUUUCUUUAGGACAUGUAUAUUUGUAUAAUUAUGAUUAUUUUUAUUAUUUUCCUUCCCUUUUCUUAGAGUCUCAUGUUUUUGCAUUAUUCGUGACUUCUUCGAAGAGUCUUUAUUGGGCAUCACAAUUAAUGUGAUUGGUAUCAAGUAAGUUUUGAAAAUAUAUUUCGACCCCUCGACACCCUCUUAGGUUUAGGGUUUGCAUUCAUAUAGUACGUCCAAAUGUGAUAAAUGCUUAGAUUAAAGAUAAGAAAAUCUUUGACUAAAUCACGCAACUAGUUUUGGCUAGGUUGAAAGGGUGUUUUGGAUUUUGUCCUUGCCUUCCCUUUCUUCAAAUGUGACUCCUGAACACGUUUCUUUGAUUUUCGUAAACUUGGAGUCGUUUAAAAAGGAUUUUUAACUUUUUCUUUAAAAAUUCAUUUUUAGGUGACUUGGUACACCUUAACUUUAUACCAAGUGGCGACUCCGAUUUUUAUUCAAAAAUCAUUUUUAAACUAUAAUUUGGGCCUUUCUUCAAAUGUGACUCCCGAACACGUUUCUUUGAUUUUCGUAGACUUGGAGUCGUUUAAAAAGGGUUUUCUACUUUUUCUUUAAAAAUUCAUUUUUGGGUGACUUGGUACACCUUAACUCUAUACCAAGUGGCGACUCCGAUUUUUAUUCAAAAAUCAUUUUUAAACUAUAAUUUGGGCCCAAAUCGUCGCAUUACAAAUCCCAUUUAGGCUCAUUUUCUUUUAAAUCAAAAAUUCAUUUUCCAAUCAAGAAUUGAAUUAAAAUUCAUUUUUUUAAACCAUUUAUUUUUCUUAUUUUUAAAAAAAUGGGAUGCCACAGUUUUUAGCAGCCGUUUGAUGUAUAUAACUACAACAAAUUACUUUGGAGUUUCCAAAACAUCAUGGAAGGCAUAACUAAUUACCAUUUCAGCUAGCAACAAUAUUCCAGCAAUAUUACUUCGGAUUUUCAAAAAAACUCCAUUCUUUUACUUGCUUACAGCUCUAAGCACUAAAUGUACAUUCGGUACAGUUUAAUCCAAGACAAAUAACACCUAGUUUCAACAACUUAUUCGAUCAAAUGUCAUUCUCAAAAUCUGUCAUCAUCAUUUGCAUUAGUCGUUAGCUCUUCCAACAGUAUGGCAGCUUAAAUUUGCAGCCUUUACUCCCUAAUUGCUUCGGUUAACUCUAACUUAUGGUGCCAAACACGUUUGCUAAUCACAGAGCAGUUUUAGCUAUCAUCUGUGCAAGUUUAUGGUGUCAGAAAUUGGAGGAAAUGUUGUUCCAGAAUUUAUUUCCCUCUCUCUCAACAUCACAGCAGGUUGCAUCAGCUUCCUUUUACCAAGUUUAGCUAGACUUCCUGAAAUUUUCUGACUUCCUAAGGCUCCUAUCUGUUCGGUCAAAGGUUUAACAAAUUUUCCAUGUAUUCAUUAAUAAGAGUUCCAGAAUCAGCAACAACAAUUGCACAGCCUGCUUCAUUCCCUCGGCCAACUACCUGCAAUCAGUUAAGUGUAUUUGUCCUGUUAUGUUCAUUCUAGUUUCUACUUGUUUCUUGCUCGUUGAAGUUUAAGGUCUGUGUGAUAUGUUACAACUUACUACACAGGCCUAGAAACUAAGGGUUGCAGGGAACAACUAGAAUCUCUUAUCUGUUCUGCUCAAUCAAAACCAACAGGUUUUGAAAGGUAGUGAUUUUGCAGCUGGUGCUUCCUUUUUUAUUCUCCCUCAGUUUAUAUCCUAGCUAAACUUAUAGAAUGUAUUGAUUUAACUGCAAGUUAUCCUAAGCCAAACAUGACAGUUUAUGGUUAGGAUUCAAAAGGAAACUGGAUUAUGUCUUAGGUCGGCGCAUGGCUGCAAAUUCUGAUGCACAGCAACCUGCAUCAGGUUUCUUUCCUCAGUCGAAGCUCAGUUUCUCUACUCAAACACUACUUGCAGCUUAUUCAUUCAUUCAUUUUUACCGAAUCAGCAUGAGGUUAUUGCAGAUUCUUAACAUUAUCAUCCCAAGAAAUAUUAAGAACAGUUACAAGUUCCAGUUUCUGCAAUUUCGCUUUUCUUGCAGUUUUACAAUUCCUGCACGACAUUUACUUCAGCAAAAAGCUCAAAUUCCUAGCUAAAUUUAACAUGCAGCUAGAGUUUAUCCAAUUAUACCAACUAAGCAGUGAGUUGUUAUAAGAUCUUACCUCUUUCCCCCUAAAGUUCGAUGUUGCAGGGUGCUCAAGUUUCUGUUUCAGCUCCUCAAGUCCUAACACUCGAUUCUCCCGUUUUCCUUACCUUCGUUUGCUUGAUUGUGGUUAGCUGAUGAAGAAGCUAGCCAAAUUGUCCUUCCCUCACACUCUAUUCCACUCCCUCGGUUCUGUUUUGUAGAGAUUGAAAGAAAGAGAGAAAGGAAGAGCUGUCUAGUUUCUUUGCUCUCGGUCACCGCCCAACUAAUGAAUCAGUUUCUAUUUGCUCCACUCAGUCACCGCUUAAACUUAGCAGAUGAUUUCUCUUUGUUUUCUCUCGGGUCUUAUUGAUUAAGAAUGACAAGAUUGUUUCCAUUCGGUGGCUAGUGGCAG